ACAGAGGGUGCGAGCGUUGUUCGGAUUUACUGGGCGUAAGGGGCGCGUAGGCGGUGCAAUAAGUCAGGCGUGAAAGCCCCGGGCUCAACCCGGGAAUUGCGCUUGAUACUGUUGCGCUUGAAUCCAGGAGAGGAUGGCGGAAUUCCCAGUGUAGAGGUGAAAUUCGUAGAUAUUGGGAAGAACACCGGUGGCGAAGGCGGCUCACUGGCUCGUUUCUGACGCUCAGGCGCGAUAGCGUGGGGAUCAAACAGGA
rnacentral:rRNA from 1 species